GGGGCUGAGGCUCAGUGGUGGAGCGCUUGCUUGACACGUAUGAGGCACUGGGUUUGAACCUCAGCACCACA
rnacentral:tRNA from 1 species